AUAGCAAUUGGCAAAUUUGAAUCUCAAUCCUUCCCUUGGUCAAACCCAGUGAUCCCGCCGUCCUAGCCCCUACCCUACUUCCUGUUGCCGACGACGCCUAACCACUCCAUCUCCAGUUUUCGCCACCCUUCACUAUUAGGACUCGACACGUGUCGUGUGCCGAUGAUAGUUACCAGCUGAACACUGGACCUACUAUCAAGGUAACUUUGAUUUAUUUGACUGGAAAAUAUUUUUAACAAAAUUUUGUCAAAGCUUCCUCUGAAAUAUGAACUAAAAUCACCUGAACAAUAACCAAGUUUCGUCAAAUUAAUACCUAUAAUAUGAAUAGGUAAGACAGUCCCUCAAAAUACAAACUAUUCAAAUAAAAUGUUGGCAUAUCGACAUUUACUUGCUUUACGCUCAACAAUCCUCAAAUAUUUUAAAGAUACCAAUUAUCUAAUGAGCCCAUAAUGAACUUUUCUGAUUUAAGCUACAUGUAUCCCAAAAGAACAUAUUACGCGCGGCUCAAUUUGGUUGUUCGACAGGCUCCAAAGUUGCUCAAAUCAGUUGCUAUCUGUCUGAUAAAGAGAAAAGGUGAAAAAAUAUAUGAGUUUAAAGCACAGUGAGUGGAUAAUUUUCAAAUUAAUAAACAUUUCUCAUUUCUACAUAAUUUUUGAAAAUUCUUCCACUUCUAAAACUUCUAAAAAUUCUAAAAUCUAGUUAAACUUUUAAUCAAACAUGAAUAUUUCAUAAAAUUCUUUGUUCUUCAUUUUAGAUAAGUAACUGUAAAAUGUAACGAAUAUAAAUAAUAUGACAUUCGUGAAAAUUUGUGAAGUAUUGCUGCUGCUCAAUACUAUAAACUGAAAGUUUUAAUCUGAAAACUGAAUAGAUUGAAUUCUAUAAUCUGAAAUCUAAUAAACUUUAGAAAUACUGAAAAAUCACAUAAAAAAGGUACCCAAUGAAUAGUCUUACUCACGUACAGAGUAAUCUCGAUGUACAAGGAAAAGACAUUUAAUUCUGUAAUUCUGAAAUUCUAUAAUUCUAAUCAUACGCGCGCAGAAUUGAUAUUCUGUAAUUCUGGUCAUACACUAUGGAAAUACAUUCACAAUAGUGCAGAGCAGAUAAAAUCAAACAUAAUUGGUCAUAUACUGUGAAAAAAACAUUCACACCAGUGCACACAAUGAUAAAAUCACCUGAGUACUUUCUGGUGAUUUUAAAUAAUAACUUUAAAUAUGCUAAAAUAUUUAAUACUGAAAUAAUAUGUCAAGAAAUAAUUUAACUAAAAUGAAUUUAACUUUUAUAAACAUUUGAUAAUAAAAUUCGUUUUAUUCUGAAAAAUCAUGCUAUCAACUCAACUUAUAAAAUACGUAACUUCAAAAUUCAAUAAAUAAUUAUUUCUGAAAAAUAAGUUUUAUUGGAAACUCACCAAGUCAUAGUUGAUCAUUGUUUUGAUCUUCUUGUCGCCUCCUCACUUUCAAUACCAAGAAGGUUAUCACGCUCUCGCUAUAAUAAAUCCUAUCUCUUCAUAGAGGAGCCUUGAGUAUUUUCCUACCAUUUGAAAUAUUAAUUUACCAAUGGGAACUUGAUAUAUUUUAUUUUCAAUUUCAUAAUCCCAAUUAAGGUCACUAACAAUAUAUACUCCUUCAUAUAAAUUAUUUUAACACCAAAACCCUAAAUAUUCAACACUUAAUUUGGUUUCAAAUAUUAAAAAUUCACCAAAAUUAGAUGAUUGACAAAACUAGUACUAUAAUUCUAGAAUAUUGAAAACUAGCAACAAUGUCUAUAUACUAAAAUCUGUCACCGAAAUCAUGGACAGAAAUAGCACUUAUUCGGGCAGAUUUUCAAAAAUAACACUUAUACUACAAUAGCUCGAAAAUGGCUGAAAAUUAGAGAAUUUCAACUUCAAAUCCUUAAUUUAAGUGUUUAACACUAUAUAAUCACAAGAAUUUUAAAGAAUAUGCUUUUAUUUUACAAACCCAUUUCCAAAGUUUCCACUUUCUUCAACAUCAAUAUCCAAAUAAAUAUUUCUUUGCUAUAUCCUUAUUUAUAACAUUAAAUACACAUCAAUAACACAUUAUUCUUGCCAACCUUUUAAUUAAAGCAAAUUUCCCAUAACCCUUAAUAAUUUAAUUCAAUAUACUUUAUACUUACCAUGCUAAAUCAAAGAGAAAUUGAAAAACUUGAAAACCUUAGCUUGAAACCAUUUUCUUUCUUUCUUCUUCUUUCUUCCCUUCUCUUUUCUUCUCUCUCGGGUUCUCUCGAGCCUUCUCUCAUUUUUCCCCCAAAAUUCGAGAAAAUGGUUAAUAUAGAUGAUAUUUAAUGGAUAAUUAUUGAAGAAUUGCAAGUCAAGUCCCUCCUUUUAUGUUUUAAAGGAAGUCUAAUCAUUAACUUUCCAUUCUUGUAAAAUAAAUCCUCAAAUUUAAAUGAUGUCCAUGUUAAACCCUCAAGUAUUGUCAAUUUGUAAAAUAACCCCAAUAGAAUAAUUUACUUCAUUAAAGUCCUUAUUUGACUUUGACUUUGACUAGUCAAUUGGGUUGUAUUGUUUAUCGUGGAUUAUUGUUAUAGAACUUGUUGUUUUUCAUUAAUUAGAUUUUAAUUGAAUUGAUAUACUAUCUUUAUUAUAUUUGAGAUAAUUAACAAGGAAUAUAGCAUGUAUAGCAACUUUUUUGAGAUCCGAUAAGGAAUAGAAAUAUACUACUAUAUCUUACAUGAUUUAGUUAGACUUUCGUGACAUUAAUGUAUUAUUUCAUGUUCGCAUCUUCCAUAGUUAUAUAGGAAAGUCACAUGUGAGAUAUGUUUAACUCAAUUCGAAAGAAAUUAUUAAAUAAAAUAGGAAUAUUAAUCAACAAUUAUAAACGAUUUUGUCAUGGUUAUGAAUUAUAUUAAAAUGGAUUAAUAAACAAGUUUUUUUUAUUUUAUUUUAUUUUAUUUUUAUUUUAUUAUCUCUUUCAAGAUUUUGUAUGAAAAGUUCGAGAUAAUGUGAUCUUACUCCAUUUAAUCAAGAAAUUGAGUAGGCAUUCAUGUUGAAACGAAAAGUACAGAAGUAACACCAAAACAACAACAAAAUAAAUAGCACAUCCAGGUGUCAUGAUAAUCAAUAAAAUCGUAUAAAAUAUGGUUAAUGUGAUUGUUAAUGAGAAUGGGAGUCUUAUUAGUGAAUAUUUGGUUGUGCCAGUUGUCAAAAAUCAGUCAAGCGUGGCAUAUCCAACAUUUGGGCAAGCAAAUUUCCACUUGAGGACAUAUGUAAUCAAUAGUUCCAAAAUGCCUUGCAGUUCUUUGGAAGAUCAAACACAAAUAUGAAUAUUUAUAUUUCGAGGUUUUUGGAUAUAGGGAAAAUUGUAGUAGCAGUACUUAACCUUUUUAUUUUUUGCAGACUUUACCCUAAACUUUAUUAUGUGCCAGUGAAGAUCCUUAACCUUUCAUAAAUAUGUGCAUGAGGUCCAAAUGAAUGAAAAUCGUGAUCGAAAAAAUUCUUUGAACUACCUGCUAUUGCUACGAUUUUAUUGGAUGUUGAUACCUUUUUAGAUGGUAUUUUUGGAGUGUGUUUCAGACAGCUUUAUUGAAUGUCGAUUCCUUAAUUUUCCAUGUCAACUAAUAAUGUUUUGGACGGUUUCCGUCUAGAUGGAUUUCAGGUGCAUAUUUAUGAAAUGUUAGAAACUUCCAAUGGCAUAAAAUGAAGGUUAAGGUAGGGAUGUCAAUGAGCCGAGCCGAGUCGGCUUGAGUAAAAUGAAAUGGGCUUUUUUCGAGCCCGACCCGAGCAAAAGCUCGACGAAAAAUAAAGACUUGAUCCGAGCUUUCGGCUUGAGCCUUAGCGAGCUAAGCUGGGCCGGCUAGAUUUUUUCUCUCUCUUUUUUUUUUUUUUUUUUUUAAAUAAUUAAUAAGGUAGCUAGCUGUUGCCUUGCCUUAAAAUAAGGCAGUAGCUUGCUGCCUUAAGCUGCUGCCUUAUUUGGUUGCCUUUUUUUAACAUUUUGUGGAUUUUUUUUUUUUUUUGCUUUUUGUUUUUUUUUUUUAAGUCUCCAGCCGGCUCGGGCUAAGCUCGGAACAUAAAAAUUGGGGCUCGACCCAAGCCAGCUCGAGCUUUUUCCGGGUCGAGCCACGGGGGGCUCGAGCCGGUGAGCCCAGUUGACAUCCAUAGGUUAGGGUAAAGUUUGCAAAAAAUGAAAAUAUUAGGGAUCUCUGUUGCAAUUUUUCCCUAGAUAUAUGGGGGCACUAUUGAACAUUGGAUGUUUCAAGUGAUGCAAUACGGUUGAGAUUAUUUCUAUGCACAUUGUGAGACUUGACUAGAUAGUUGUUGGAUACAUUCUUAACUGACUACAUUACCACGUGGAAUAGUUUAUGCCAAAAAAUUUUAACAAAUUUUUCCCCUCGGAAAAAAGAAAAAAAGAAAUCACCAUAUUUUCGUAGUUUGAUUUGGAAUUUUAUUAAGAGGUACGGGAAAGAUACAAGGGAUUGCUCGCUAGUGCCCACAACAUAGUUUGCAGAUAUAAGUGUUUUAGAAGCUGAAAUAAUUGAGGAUCUACCUUUGAAAGUACAUACUCUGUUCCAGUAAACAUGCCUCCAAUUCUAUAUCAUCGAAGAUUUCGAAAAAGGACGGAAUUGAAAGUGGUUCAGGCAAUUGCUACACCGAGUGGAGUUCAACUUCCAAAAUUACAGUUUAAGAUCAAGAAAAAUAAUCUGAUUUUUUAUUUAUUUAUUUAUUUUUUCCAAAUUUUGGCUUGGAGAAGAAGAUUCUUGAUGCGAGAUCUUAUUAUUUUAUUCAUCUUUGUUUUCAAAAUUCA